GUGGGUAACCUGCCUUGUACUGGGGGACAACAGUUGGAAACGACUGCUAAUACCGCAUAAGCGCACAGCUUCGCAUGAAGCAGUGUGAAAAACUCCGGUGGUACAAGAUGGACCCGCGUCUGAUUAGCUGGUUGGUGAGGUAACGGCCCACCAAGGCGACGAUCAGUAGCCGGCCUGAGAGGGUGAACGGCCACAUUGGGACUGAGACACGGCCCAAACUCCUACGGGAGGCAGCAGUGGGGAAUAUUGCACAAUGGGGGAAACCCUGAUGCAGCAACGCCGCGUGAGUGAAGAAGUAUUUCGGUAUGUAAAGCUCUAUCAGCAGGAAAGAAAAUGACGGUACCUGACUAAGAAGCCCCGGCUAACUACGUGCCAGCAGCCGCGGUAAUACGUAGGGGGCAAGCGUUAUCCGGAUUUACUGGGUGUAAAGGGAGCGUAGACGGUUUUGCAAGUCUGAAGUGAAAGCCCGGGGCUUAACCCCGGGACUGCUUUGGAAACUGUAGGACUAGAGUGCAGGAGAGGUAAGUGGAAUUCCUAGUGUAGCGGUGAAAUGCGUAGAUAUUAGGAGGAACACCAGUGGCGAAGGCGGCUUACUGGACUGUAACUGACGUUGAGGCUCGAAAGCGUGGGGAGCAAACAGGAUUAGAUACCCUGGUAGUCCACGCCGUAAACGAUGAUUACUAGGUGUUGGUGGGUAUGACCCAUCGGUGC
rnacentral:rRNA from 1 species